rnacentral:lncRNA from 1 species
AGGAUACACUGAAGCUUGGAAAAUUCCUGCCAGAGGCUCUUGCAGAGAGUCCCUGACCCUCAGUGCUGAGGGGCAAACUGCCAUAAGAUGUCCGCUGUCCGGCCAGGCUUUCUGAGGCAGAUAAUAGGCACUGAGUGACUUCUUCUGCCGGGUGAGCCAGGGAGGCUCUGGAGGAUAAAGAUACAGGAAUGAAAACAAAGACAUCCAAGCCUUGAGCCAUUUAGAAGAGGAAGAAGCCAAAAUCCAUGCCAGAGGUUCGACUGCUGGGUUUACUUAUGGCUUCAGAGAUACAUUUCACUUGCCCAUCAUUUGGAGGGUUCAUCUGUGUCACUCAGAAGUGGAAAAGGAUGGGGACAGACACCUGGUGGGAGAAGGGCAGAGAGAAGAGGUGGCUGGAGGAGGCAGCAAUAGUAAGGAUGGAGUGAGGAACAACCAAGUGCUUUGGCGGCCACUGCUAACAGAGCCAGGAGGGAGAAAUAAAGCCAUGUUCAAGCAGCUGGGCAGAACAAUUGUCAACUAUGCUGAGAAGGCAACAUUUACAACCCCGGUUUGCAAUAUGGGACUACAUCGAGAUCCCCAACUGUACCUCUCACUGAAGGGAUGAACUGGGUGAGCUGACAGGUCUACUUGUGGAACCAGAGAUCUUAAGCAAUUACUGCAGGAGAAUGAGGAGAAGUUAAGUUUAGAUUCACAGCAAGAAGUAUUUAAAGAGCCCGUUUGAGAUCAGAAACCCACUGGGAGCUGACAUCCCCAUUGAAAUCUGCUUCCAUAUUGCGCAGUGACUAUUUGCAAGAAAUUGGCCACUGAAGGAGAACUACACACCAGAUUUAUUCCAGUAACUUCAAACUCUAAGUGCAUUUGUGAAAAGAACAAUCUGCCCAUUAAAGGCCUGAAAGAAAGGUGAAAUUAAUCAAAUGAGUGAUUGAGUAUGAAUAAUUCUCCCAGUCCUUCAAAUCACCAAAUGCAGUGCAAGUCCCUUCUAACCCAACCUCUUUGUCAAAUCUUCUCCCCUUUAAAAAGCUGUUGUAUUAUUUGCCUAAAUUAUUCAUGUGCUGAAAUAAACGUGUUGGUUAUGGACUUGUCCCA